GUGUAGGAGGCGGCUAAGGGGAGGGAGCGGUUCAUGUCGACUCCAUUCUGUUAGCUUGGACUGCUGCUUGUUAUUGUGACCUUUCCCCUAUGUCUGUCCUAUGUAAAUCCUGCAUUGUGAAUCCACACACACACACACCUUUUCUGGUUCUAGAGGUCUGGAGGGUUCAGUGAAGUACUGAGAACUAUGACUGAGAGAAGGUAUACAGUAGGAUAAAAACACACGCCACAUUUAUACUUGGUCUAACGACGUGUCUGUAAACAAUUAGAAUGCGACAGGUGCGGCAGGGUAGCCUAGUGGUUAGAGUGUAGAGGCGGCAGGGUAGCCUAGUGGUUAGAGUGUAGAGGCGGCAGGGUAGCCUAGUGGUUAGAGUGUAGAGGUGGCAGGGUAGCCUAGUGGUUAGAGUGUAGAGGCGGCAGGGUAGCCUAGUGGUUAGAGUGUAGAGGCGGCAGGGUAGCCUAGUGGUUAGAGUGUAGAGGCGGCAGGGUAGCCUAGUGGUUAGAGUGUAGAGGCGGCAGGGUAGCCUAGUGGUUAGAGUGUAGAGGCGGCAGGGUAGCCUAGUGGUUAGAGUGUAGAGGCGGCAGGGUAGCCUAGUGGUUAGAGUGUAGAGGCGGCAGGGUAGCCUAGUGGUUAGAGUGUAGAGGCGGCAGGGUAGCCUAGUGGUUAGAGUGUAGAGGCGGCAGGGUAGCCUAGUGGUUAGAGUGUAGAGGCGGCAGGGUAGCCUAGUGGUUAGAGUGUAGAGGCGGCAGGGUAGCCUAGUGGUUAGAGUGUAGAGGCGGCAGGGUAGCCUAGUGGUUAGAGUGUAGAGGCGGCAGGGUAGCCUAGUGGUUAGAGCGUAGAGGCGGCAGGGUAGCCUAGUGGUUAGAGCGUAGAGGCGGCAGGGUAGCCUAGUGGUUAGAGCGUAGAGGCGGCAGGGUAGCCUAGUGGUUAGAGCGUAGAGGCGGCAGGGUAGCCUAGUGGUUAGAGCGUAGAGGCGGCAGGGUAGCCUAGUGGUUAGAGCGUAGAGGCGGCAGGGUAGCCUAGUGGUUAGAGCGUAGAGGCGGCAGGGUAGCCUAGUGGUUAGAGCGUUGGACUAGUAACCGGAAGGUUGCAAGUUCAAAUCCCCGAGCUGACAAGGUACAAAUCUGUCGUUCUGCCCCUGAACAGGCAGUUAACCCACUGUUCCUAGGCCGCCAUUGAAAAUAACAUGACAUGUCAAUAGACGACUGUAAACCAGCCUUUGCUGUAGAUGUUAAUCAAUUAUGUUAAAGUCAUCUGGUUUGAAGUGAAACUCUAGUGGAUGAGUGUGGUGUCUGUCCAUCCAUCUAA